CCCGCUGAACUUAAGCAUAUCAAUAAGCGGAGGAAAAGAAACUAACAAGGAUUCCCCUAGUAACUGCGAGUGAAGCGGGAAGAGCUCAAAUUUAAAAUCUGGCGUGCCUCUGGUCGUCCGAGUUGUAGUCUGGAGAAGCGUUUUCCGUGUUGGACCGUGUACAAGUCUCUUGGAACAGGGCGUCAUAGAGGGUGAGAAUCCCGUCUUUGACACGGACUACCAAUGCUUUGUGAUGCGCUCUCAAAGAGUCGAGUUGUUUGGGAAUGCAGCUCAAAAUGGGUGGUAAAUUCCAUCUAAAGCUAAAUAUAGGCGAGAGACCGAUAGCGAACAAGUACCGUGAGGGAAAGAUGAAAAGCACUUUGGAAAGAGAGUUAAACAGUACGUGAAAUUGCUGAAAGGGAAACGCUUGAAGUCAGUCACGUCGUUCAGGAUUCAGCCUUGCUUCUGCUUGGUUUACUUCCUGUUGGGUGGGUCAACAUCAGUUUCCAUCAGAGGAAAAAGGCUUCGGGAAGGUGGCAGCAUUCGUGCUGUGUUAUAGCCCUUUGCUGUAUACUUUGAUAGAGACUGAGGACUGCAGCACGCCUUCUGGCUGGGGUUCGCCCACAUACGUGCUUAGGAUGUUGGCAUAAUGGCUCUAAGCGACCCGUCUUGAAACACGG
rnacentral:rRNA from 1 species